UACGUAGGGUGCAAGCGUUGUCCGGAAUUAUUGGGCGUAAAGAGCUCGUAGGCGGCUUGUCGCGUCGACCGUGAAAACUUGGGGCUCAACCCCAAGCCUGCGAUCGAUACGGGCAGGCUCGAGUUCGGUAGGGGAGACUGGAAUUCCUGGUGUAGCGGUGAAAUGCGCAGAUAUCAGGAGGAACACCGAUGGCGAAGGCAGGUCUCUGGGCCGAUACUGACGCUGAGGAGCGAAAGCGUGGGGAGCGAACAGG
rnacentral:rRNA from 1 species